UGUCCCCUGCAGUGCGCGCCAGGGUCCGGAAAUUCUUGAACCAACAGAGUUUUCACAGGUCGCGGACCGAAAGGUCACUGUUGCGAGCGUCCCACAGCCGGAUGCACCUGAUGUGACUGGGAUGCGACCGCCUUGAACCAACGGUUCAGGAUAAGGGCCCGACGGCAUCUGCGGGGGGCUC
rnacentral:other from 1 species